CAGCAGAUGUGUUCCUUCGAUUAUAAAUAAGGAAUCCAUCCGUAUAAAAAUUGCCAGCGGGGUCUGCUGCAACAUCAUGGAUUUCUGCUCAUAUUACUGUGUCAAUAUGAUCCGGUGAUGGGGUUUGAAUGUUUCAUGAAGGAAGAGAUGUAUGUGCACAUGUUGUAUUCCUCAUUUAUGGAACUCAAUUUUAUAUAUACCUGCAUAUAAAGUUGUUUUGUUAAAAGCUUUGCUGGGUUGUGAAUUAAACUAAUAUAUAUAUGUGUAUAAUGCAAAUGCAUAAUCUGUGUUAUUGAAAUUCUCUCUUGUUGA